CUCCAAUAGCGUAUAUUAAAGGUGUUGCAGUUAAAAAGCUCGUAGUUGGACCUUGGACCUGGACAGGCGGUCCGCCUCACGGCGAGUACUGUCUUGCUGGGUCUUUCCUCUUGGUGAUCUGUUGUUUCGGCAGCAGGGAACCAGGACCUUUACUUUGAAAAAAUUAGAGUGUUCAAAGCAGGCUCGACGCCGGAAUAUAUUAGCAUGGAAUAAUAAAAUAGGACGUGCGGU
rnacentral:rRNA from 14 species